UAGUGGCGCACGGGUGCGUAACACGUAUGCAACCUACCUUACAUUGGGGGAUAGCCUUUCGAAAGGGAGAUUAAUACCGCAUAAGACAGUAACUGGGCAUCCAGUAGUUGUUAAAGAUUUAUCGAUGUAAGAUGGGCAUGCGUCCAAUUAGUUAGUUGGCGAGGUAAUGGCUCACCAAGACUUUGAUUGGUAGGGGAACUGAGAGGUCAAUCCCCCACACUGGCACUGAGAUACGGGCCAGACUCCUACGGGAGGCAGCAGUAGGGAAUAUUGGGCAAUGGACGCAAGUCUGACCCAGCCAUGCCGCGUGCAGGAUGAAGGCGUUAUGCGUUGUAAACUGCUUUUAUACAGGAAGAAACGACUCUUGUGAGAGGCAUUGACGGUACUGUAUGAAUAAGCACCGGCUAACUCCGUGCCAGCAGCCGCGGUAAUACGGAGGGUGCAAGCGUUGUCCGGAUUUAUUGGGUUUAAAGGGUGCGUAGGCGGGUAGGUAAGUCAGUGGUGAAAUCCUGGAGCUCAACUCCAGA
rnacentral:rRNA from 1 species